rnacentral:rRNA from 1 species
CCUACGGGAGGCAGCAGUGGGGAAUAUUGCACAAUGGGGGAAACCCUGAUGCAGCGACGCCGCGUGAGCGAUGAAGUAUUUCGGUAUGUAAAGCUCUAUCAGCAGGGAAGAAAAUGACGGUACCUGACUAAGAAGCCCCGGCUAACUACGUGCCAGCAGCCGCGGUAAUACGUAGGGGGCAAUCGUUAUCCGGAUUUACUUGGUGUAAAGGGAGCGUAGACGGCGAUGGAAGCCAGCUGUGAAAGCCCGGGGCUCAACCCCGGGACUGUAUUUGGAACUGUAUAGCUGGAGUGUCGGAGAGGCAGGCGGAAUUCCUAGUGUAGCGGUGAACUGCGUAGAUAUUAGGAGGAACACCAGUGGCGAAGGCGGCCUGCUGGACGAUGACUGACGUUGAGGCUCGAAAGCGUGGGGAGCAAACAGGAUUAGAGACCCUAGUAGUC